AGUGGGAGUGCUGGAUCAUAUGGUGGUUCUAUUUUUAAUUUUCUGAGGAACCUCCAUACUCUUUUCCAUAAUUGCUCUACCAAUUUACAUUCUCACAAACAAU
rnacentral:pre_miRNA from 1 species